GGCCAACGCAACAUUACAUUCGAGACCUUUGUUCCUUUUUCCAGCAGUCUCCCAUCCUUCUCAUCUGCACAUUUUCCUUUCUCUCUCUCUCUCUCGUUGCCCUUCGCUCAAACUUCCUUUCGAACAAAUGAAAAACUGAAAUAAUAGCCGCUGAUUGAAGAGAUUAGAGGCUUAGUCCUCCGAGUGAUGAGGGUCUGAACCAGUGAAAGGAAAGAAAUGGAGGGUGCAGAGGAGGAGCUGGAGAGGAGGAGCAAGUUCCUCAACGGUUUGAUACAGAAGAAGAAAGCGAUUGAGCAGCAAGAGCAGCAUGACCGCAUGAACGUGCGCGUCAGAGCCUGUGACAUGCCGCUUCCUUUGCAGAACUGUGCCUUUCGCUGCGCACGUGACCAACUCGACUCCAUGCCCGGCAAGCUUGACAGUAAACGCCUCGCCCUCGCGCUUAAGAAGGUAGCAAUUACCCGGACAUUCUCAACACGUUAUUUCUUUGGACAAUGCUUAUAGGACAAAUUGCUGUUGAGAAGAAUUUUGACUGGAACAAGGAGAGAUAGGCCUAACUAUUCUAGUAGACAUACUAAGGAUGACUUCCAGGAAUUUGCUCCUUGUGCAUCUGUGUACAAAAAUUUUUAUGAAUCCAGUAAGGCUACCGGAAUUUGACUCUUCAUAUGGUCCAGCUUGGCACUGCAUCGUAGGAACUAGCUUUGGCUCAUAUGUCACACAUUCCUUAGGGGGCUUCUUGUAUUUUUCAAUCGACAAGGUUUAUAUCCUUCUCUUCAAGACUGCUGUUGAGCCUUUAGAACAUUGACAGCUUUAAACUUGAAUGUAUUCAACUGUGUGUUUUAUGAAAUCAAAUACCUCCACUGUCAA